UGCCAGUCUAAAGGGCGCCAAUUUCCAAAUUCUGACUAGAGGCCCGUCUUCAGCCAGUUCAGGCGUACCCGCUAUGAAACUAUUCGGCUAUUGAGGAAGAAUACAUUGAUUAUGCCAACGGAGCAAGUGUUGAAUGACAGUGUGUGUACACCCUGUUAGAGUCCAUUAUUCAUGUGUGGCUAGCCGGCCACUCUGUGUGUGCUACCAAAGAUAUUCCCUAAAACAGAAGCACGUUCAAUGGCCGAGCAAGUAAAAAACAGUUCUGGCUGACUUAAAGGAUCUCCGUAACACGGGUUGGAUUCUAACGUCAGCAAUAUGCACAAGUAGCAACAGUGAUCAAUCAGACCGAUGGCACGUUUAAGUCGGGUGAUUUCGAAUUUUGCUUCUCGUUAUAACCAGGUUCGACGAGAGUCAAGUCGUUAGUCGUCUGCAAGCUUGGUCACCUGGCGCCAUGAUGAAGACGAAGCACGUAGCCGUGAUUGUUCUAUUCCUCCUGAUGGCGCUUGUUGUUGUGCCUCAUUCAGCGCCGGCUAGACGUGGCGGUGAAGUUCUUCCAGUGAGGCGUUACAUGCAAAAAUGUUUUUACGGAAAUACAGCUUGUGUAACGUAUUGUACAGUAAACGGAUACAAAAAUGGGUUCUGCUCGGAAAUAUUAACGUGUCACUGCAUGGGGAAGGUGAACAGUAAUUUACGUGUAUCACAACAAGUGAUUGAGGAACGUCAUUAGGAUAAUGUCUGAGAUGUGACGUUCGUACAGGGUCACCUCCUACUGCUGACGAUUCCUCUGUUAAUUAGUUUUAAGGGAGCUGUUUAUAUCGAAUGAGGAUAGUGAAUGGACAAUAUGAGGUGCUCACGGACCAGAAAUCCAGAACUAAAUACCAAUUUAGCCAGUGUGGUAGGUGCUUGAACGGAUGCAUCCGAUCUGUUUGGUCUAGAGAUCUGCCUGGGCAGAAAAGUCAAUGUGAUAUAUAUAUAUAUAUUAUAAAUGUUUAUAUUUUUUAUUAUUAAUACUUAUAAAUAUUUAAGUAUGAA